CUGUGCAUGCAGCAUACCCAGGGGCUUCCAUCUAAGAGCUGCCUGCCCUCGUGCACCAGUGUGAGCAAAGCAUGGCACAAGUGCUGGCAGUGCUGCAGAGGGAGGGGACGUGAGGGCCACGGCCCCCGCUGCAGUACAAAAGCAGAUUGACCAGAAAAAAUUGCCAAGAAGACUAACACUGGCAGCUAGUGUUCCUGAGUGGUUUUAAAGUGGGAGAAGGCCACAGAGGAAGAGGACAGGGCAGGACAUGACUGUUGAGCAAUGGCUGAGCUCCUGCACUGAGGAGGCAUUGCUAAAUCUGCAGCUGCAAUGAGGGCUGCUUACCAGCACAGGCAAGGACCAUGUUGCUGGAGGAGAGAUGUCAGCCUCCUAAGAGCAGCGCAGAGGAGGAAACUCAGGAGCCUGAAGCACAGCGACCUCCUAAGAACAGACAAAGCAGGGUGAAGCAACAAAGGCUUUCAACUGAAAGCAAAUGCUGACAGAAACAUUGUUCUGGGUGCAUGGCCUGUGGCCAGUGCUCCUGGAGGGAAUGCUGUACGCUGCA